GGAUGUGAGGAUAAUCUGGCUGCAACAUUUGUCACCCCACUGAUUGUCUCGGUUGAUUCAGCUGAUCUGGCUGACUUGGCAGGUGUCCCCUUCGUCUCUCACCAUCCCAUGUGUGUCCCUCUCAAAGCCAUGAGCUCCACUGAAGAGGACAACCUUCCCUGACAGAGGAGAAGCUAUGCUCCCCUGCUAAGCCCUCCAAACAAGCACUCAAGGACAUAUGUGAUCGCCAUUUUCAUGAAGUAAUGAAACAAUUACAUUGACUCAUUUUUUAU
rnacentral:sRNA from 1 species